UAGCCAUGCANGUCUAGUAUAAAUGUUAUACAGUGAAACUGCGAAUGGCUCAUUAAAACAGUUAUAGUUUAUUUGAUAAUCGAAUUUUACAUGGAUAACCGUGGUAAUUCUAGAGCUAAUACAUGCUGGUUAGCCUGACUUCUAGGAAGGGCUGUAUUUAUUAGAUAACAAACCAAUAUUCCUCGUGUCUAUUGUGAUGACUCAUAAUAACUGAUCGAAUCGCAUGGGCCUUGCCCGCGAUACAUCAUUCAAGUUUCUGCCCCAUCAGCUUUCGAUGGUAGUGUAUUGGACUACCAUGGCUUUAACGGGUAACGGAGGAUUAGGGUUCGAUUCCGGAGAGGGAGCCUGAGAAACGGCUACCACAUCUAAGGAAGGCAGCAGGCGCGUAAAUUACCCAAUCCUGACUCAGGGAGGUAGUGACAAGAAAUAACGGACCGAGGCUUUUUGCUUCGGGAUUGCAAUGAGUAGAAUUUAAACCCCUUUACGAGGAUCAAUUGGAGGGCAAGUCUGGU
rnacentral:rRNA from 1 species